GGGUGUGAGGGCCAUCAGGUUGUGACAUCUGCCACCCCGGCCGGCGAGGCGGGGGUCCCCUUUCCCCGCCCCCCAGCACCACGUGCAUCCCUGCUGAAGCUGCGUGCCUGGAAGAGGAUGACCACCCGCGAUAGACGAGGACCGUCUCCUAGGUCAAGGGCAUAGAGCAACUGUGCUCCUGGCUAGAACCUCCAAACACGCUCGCAAGAAUGGAGAAUUGAGGCUCCGAAUUAAUAAGAGAAUCUGCCAGUUUCCCAGAUUCCCAACAUGCUUGAGGAUUUUG
rnacentral:snRNA from 1 species